AUCAUCAUAAUAUUUCAGCAUCCACAAUCCCAAUUAGGGUCAAAUUAACAGCUUAUCACUACCCAUUACAUGUUAAUCGAUAAUACCCAUUAAACGACGAUAAACCCCCCUUACCUGAGAUAAUCCGGCAAAUCUCCAAGCUUUAGCUCUUCCGUUCCUCAACCGCGCUUUUCGGCUCUUUGCCCUUUUUCCUCUUCUCUGCAGCUUCUCAGAAUUUCACGUGAAAACCUUU
rnacentral:lncRNA from 1 species